CUAAACCUAUCGCCGAACCCGAGCCCCUCUUCUCCCCCGACUCCGGCCUCUUUUCUGUCCUCUUCCUCUUGCGGACAAGCGACGGCGACGGGACCAGCUCCGGCGAUUCCUCUGCCGGCACCGACGCCUGGUAAGCCCAGAUCCAUCCGAGACCUUUCUCAUCCUAGCUUCGAUCUCUUCUCCUCGCCACUGGUUCUUUCACGGGGAUGAGCCGACGCCACUGAUCGAGCGAGAUCCACCCGAUCGCCGGCGAGGGUUUGCUUCCGGAGGUUUGAGAGUAUGGCUAGUUUCACCUGAGCCCUUCCUCCUUGUGCAACCGUGCCCUAAAUCCCUUCCAUCGGCUCCGAUCAGUCGUCGCAGCGUCGACAAGCCGUGCCCUAGCUACGAUCCUGAGGCAAGGAUCGUUUCCUUGCUGGCAGUUCUUGGUCUUCUUCGUAUUGACCUCACGGGGUCAGAUCUUGAUCCUCUUCCUUGAGGAUGAUUUAGGUCACGGAUUGGGCCAUUUCUGUUGGAGACAGCCGAUUGGGGUAAGUAGGUUGAUCUUCUGUGGUAUUCUUGAUUCAGCACCCUUUGCUCCGGCAGCUACCUUCCUGAGAGCUAUACUUCUUAGGGUGGAUCAACAGAAGGGAGGGCUAAGUGUGAGCAAAUCACCUUGUCUUUCCAGCCAGCUCAGUUGGUUUCCAGCAGCUCAUUUCGUUCCAGCAGUGGCUGUAAAUUUAGGAGUCUGAUUUGAAACAGGCGUCUCGACGUUGACUUCGGAUUUGGAUUGUACCUU